UCAGGUGGUUUUUGGUGACCCCUCUGACACCCCCAGGUUGAGAAACUCUGUUCUAGAGGAACAGUUCAGACAUUGGAAAAGUUGCAGAUGGACCAUGGAAUGCUAAUCUAACCUAACAAUUUUACAAAGCUUUGGUCGGAGAACUGGAUGAGCCUCAUGUUAAGAACUAUCAUGAAAGCCUGAACUGUACUACUGGUAAUAAAAGCAAUGGCUGAGUGGCUGGAAACGUA